ensembl:rRNA 5S_rRNA 5S ribosomal RNA
AUCUACAAGUAUACCACCCUGCACACGUCUGAUCUUGGCUGAUCUCGGAAGCUAAGCAGGGUCGGGCAUGGUUAGUACUUGGAUGGGAGACCACCUGGGAAUACCAGGUGCUGUAGGCU